rnacentral:tRNA from 1 species
GAGGGUGUAGCUCAGCUGUAGAGUGUGUGCUUAGUGUGCGCAAGGUCCUGGGUUCAAUCCCCAGUACCUCCA